rnacentral:ncRNA from 1 species
CACUCAUAUAACUUAAGGGUUAUGUGGUGGGACUAUUAAAAAAAGUAGUCAGCUUAUUUGUCCUGCGGAAGCAAAUACAUAUAGAGGUCUGAAAGUGUGUGAGUAGCAAAACGAAAGCACAAAUCAGC